rnacentral:misc_RNA from 1 species
AACGCACAUUGCGCCCUUCGGUAUUCCGAAGGGCAUGCCUGUUCGAGCGUCAUUAUCACCCCUCAAGCCCCCGGGCUUGGUGUUGGACGGUUUGGUGAAGGCCUCCGGGCGAUCACCCCUCCUAAAGACAAUGACGGCGGCCUGUUGGAACCCCCGGUACAUUGAGCUUCUUAACUGAGCACGUAUCGGAUCAAGAGAACCCAGGCCCCGGUCUUCUCCCUUUAUUGGGAAAAUUUAUCAAGGUUGACCUCGGAUCAGGUAGGAAUACCCGCUGAACUUAA